GUCUACUACCAUACCACUCUGAACACACCCAAUCUCAUCUGAUCUCAGAAGCUAAAUAGGGUCGGGCCUGGUUUGUAUAAUAAUUGGAUAGGAGAAAUGCAAACCAUAACCACAGUGAGGUAUCAC
rnacentral:rRNA from 1 species